GCUAAAUUAAAGUGUAAUCUUUUAACUACGCGUGUGAGUUAAAAGAUUUUAAUUUAGAUCACGCGUUUUCUUGUAAUAACCCGAAAUAAGUGGGCAAAUAGCAUAAGAGUACCCUUUGCUAGGUCCAGUUGCCAAUGUGAAUUUUGGAAGCCGCAUUAUUAAUAAACUAGUGCUCCAGAAAUUUAAACAUUAGUGCUAAAUUAAAGCUUAAUCCUUUGUAGGACAACGUUCAGUUUUAGAAGUACUCAUAGACAAAACAAUGCAGAGGAAGAGGAAGAACGGUUGAUGGCGCAGAGGGUCGAACGACGAAAAUGGCGCGAUGCCAUAAAUCCCUUCGAGUUGCCGCAAUCCUUAUUUGAAAAGUAUUACCGACUUAACAAGUCGGAAUUUCAGUAUUUGUUGGACGUAUUGACAGCAAAUACGGAGGCACCAGAGAAGGCUUUGGCGAUAUCCCCCAUCGCAAAACUGAGCGGGUGUUUAAGAUUUUUGGCUGAAUGUGGGUACCAGACGGGUGUGGGUAAAGACUGCGACGUUUCGUAGGCGAAAUCUAGUUUCAGCAAAGUGUUGACGGAAGUGCUGACUGUUUUUGAGCGCCAUUUGUGCCCGCAGUGGAUAAAGGUGAGCGAAAGCUAGGAUGAAAACAGGAAUAUCGCCCGAGCCUUUUAUGUUAAACAUGGCAUUCCGGGAGUUGUUGAGUGUAUUGAUGGCACCCACGUAAGAAUAAUUGCUCCACCACAAAACGCACACCUUUACUACAACCGUAAAGGGAACUACAGCCUAAACGUUAUGCUUCUUUGCGACAAUGAAUUAAGGAUUCGCUACGUUUAUGCUUCCCAUCCUGGGGCGUGCAACGAUUCCUUCAUAUGGAACAACAGCGAAGUGCGGGUUUAUUUUGAGAGGCAAUAUUUGCAAGGAGCGAGGAGUGUCUGGCUUUUAGGGAACGCAGGGUAUCCUUUAGAGCCCUGGCUGUUGACACCUCAUAGAACUCCAGAAGAAGGCUCAAGGGAAAUGAGGUUUAACCAAAGAACGUAGAUAAUAAGAAGGGACAACUCGUUAUAAUUGUAGCGAAAGUGAGCAACAUGGGCGUGCCUUCUCGUUUUCCCUUGUACGUUUUUUGAUUGGAUGAAAA
rnacentral:misc_RNA from 1 species